GGGUGGGGAUUAGUGGCGAACGGGUGAGUAACACGUGGGUAAUCUGCCCUGCACUCUGGGACAAGCCCUGGAAACGGGGUCUAAUACCGGAUACUGAACCGCUUGGGCAUCCAGGCGGUUCGAAAGCUCCGGCGGUGCAGGAUGAGCCCGCGGCCUAUCAGCUUGUUGGUGAGGUAACGGCUCACCAAGGCGACGACGGGUAGCCGGCCUGAGAGGGCGACCGGCCACACUGGGACUGAGACACGGCCCAGACUCCUACGGGAGGCAGCAGUGGGGAAUAUUGCACAAUGGGCGAAAGCCUGAUGCAGCGACGCCGCGUGAGGGAUGACGGCCUUCGGGUUGUAAACCUCUUUCAGCAGGGAAGAAGCGAAAGUGACGGUACCUGCAGAAGAAGCGCCGGCUAACUACGUGCCAGCAGCCGCGGUAAUACGUAGGGCGCGAGCGUUGUCCGGAAUUAUUGGGCGUAAAGAGCUCGUAGGCGGCUUGUCGCGUCGGUUGUGAAAGCCCGGGGCUUAACCCCGGGUCUGCAGUCGAUACGGGCAGGCUAGAGUUCGGUAGGGGAGAUCGGAAUUCCUGGUGUAGCGGUGAAAUGCGCAGAUAUCAGGAGGAACACCGGUGGCGAAGGCGGAUCUCUGGGCCGAUACUGACGCUGAGGAGCGAAAGCGUGGGGAGCGAACAGGAUUAGAUACCCUGGUAGUCCACGCCGUAAACGGUGGGCACUAGGUGUGGGCGACAUUCCACGUCGUCCGUGCCGCAGCUAACGCAUUAAGUGCCCCGCCUGGGGAGUACGGCCGCAAGGCUAAAACUCAAAGGAAUUGACGGGGGCCCGCACAAGCGGCGGAGCAUGUGGCUUAAUUCGACGCAACGCGAAGAACCUUACCAAGGCUUGACAUACACCGGAAAGCCUCGGAGAUGGGGCCCCCCUUGUGGUCGGUGUACAGGUGGUGCAUGGCUGUCGUCAGCUCGUGUCGUGAAAUGUUGGGUUAAGUCCCGCAACGAGCGCAACCCUUGUCCCGUGUUGCCAGCAGGCCCUUGUGGUGCUGGGGACUCACGGGAGACCGCCGGGGUCAACUCGGAAGGAAGGUGGGGACGACGUCAAGUCAUCAUGCCCCU
rnacentral:rRNA from 1 species